AUACCUUUCUCGACCUUUUGGCUAAGAUCAAGUGUAGUAUCUGUUAGAGGUAAAUACAUCACUAGUGCUUGAACUUGCCACGAAUGUGCACUCUGGUGCCUGAACUUGUAAAAUACAUUGAACUGGUUUCAUAACUUGACACGGACGUGCAUAUACAGUUCAAAUCUCGUUUUUAUACGUCCAUGACGC
rfam:Triticum aestivum genome assembly, contig: Triticum_aestivum_CS42_TGACv1_scaffold_543379_6DS